CAGUAGUUGCUAGAAUUUCCUGCUUUUUAAAAGGAUAUGGUCUCAUUUUACAGAGAGUUUACAAAGAGGAUUUUGAGAAGGAGAUUAAAGGAAGGUCCUCACUGGAUUUAGACAAGACUCCUGAAUUUUUACAUGUAAAGUACAUCACCAACCUUCUGAGGGAGUGGCUGAAAACUACCUCAUGCUCUUUCAACUCUGCUUAAACAGAAAGCAUUCCUUGAUUGUAACUGGGAUCAUAAUAAUGGCAUAAAUAUAACAAAGUAAUUAUAUGUCAAGUAGAGCAUGUAUUUAAAAGAUAGUGAAAUUCCACCUCAGGUGAAUUUUUGAACUGAAGAAAUGAUUUCUGAAAGAAGUGUCUUCAAGCAG
rnacentral:lncRNA from 1 species